CCAAUACCAGCUGAAGAAAGAGGAUCAGGGAGAAUGAAUUGCUCCAUACUAACAAGAGAAAGAUACUGGAGAAGAAUCAUCAGAGACACCCCAUCAUCUUGCACUGCUCACAAGCAUCUACUGAAGCUCUCUGGAUUGAGUGGGAAUGAAGAUAUCUGCCCUCCACAUGAUAUUACAUAUUAAUGCUAAAUU